rnacentral:rRNA from 1 species
AACGAACGCUGGCGGCAUGCCUAACACAUGCAAGUCGAACGGUGCCUUCGGGCACAGUGGCGCACGGGUGAGUAACACGUGGGAACCUGCCUUUCGGUUCGGAAUAACGUUUGGAAACGAACGCUAACACCGGAUACGCCCUUCGGGGGAAAGUUUACGCCGAGAGAGGGGCCCGCGUCGGAUUAGGUAGUUGGUGAGGUAACGGCUCACCAAGCCGACGAUCCGUAGCUGGUCUGAGAGGAUGAUCAGCCACACUGGGACUGAGGCACGGCCCAGACUCCUACGGGAGGCAGCAGUGGGGAAUAUUGGACAAUGGGCGCAAGCCUGAUCCAGCAAUGCCGCGUGAGUGAUGAAGGCCUUAGGGUUGUAAAGCUCUUUCGCACGCGACGAUGAUGACGGUAGCGUGGGAAGAAGCCCCGGCUAACUUCGUGCCAGCAGCCGCCGUAA